UGGUGGAGUGAUUUGUCUGGUUAAUUCCGUUAACGAACGAGACCUCAGCCUACUAAAUAGUCGGGUGAAUAUUUUAUUCUCUACGACUUCUUAGAGGGACUGUCCAUUUCUAGUGGACGGAAGUUUGAGGCAAUAACA
rnacentral:rRNA from 1 species